rnacentral:rRNA from 1 species
AUGAACGCUGGCGGCAGGCCUAAUACAUGCAAGUCGAACGGGAUCUGAAGUAGCAAUACUUUGGUGAGAGUGGCGCACGGGUGCGUAACACGUAUGCAACCUACCUUUAACCGGUACACAACCCUCCGAAAGGGGGGCUAAUAUACCAUGUGAUUAAGAAGAGGCAUCUUUUUUUAAUUAAAGAUUCAUUGGUUAAAGAUGGGCAUGCGGUCCAUUAGCUAGUUGGUGAGGUAACGGCUCACAAGGCUAUGAUGGGUAGGGGUUCUGAGAGGAUAUACCCCCACACUGGUACUGAGACACGGACCAGACUCCUACGGGAGGCAGCAGUAAGGAAUAUUGGUCAAUGGGCGGAAGCCUGAACCAGCCAUGCCGCGUGCAGGAAGACGGCCCUAUGGGUUGUAAACUGCUUUUGUCAGGGGAUAAACCUACCCACGCGUUGGGUAGCUGAAGGUACCUGAAGAAUAAGGAUCGGCUAACUCCGU